rnacentral:rRNA from 1 species
GAUUAUUUAAAUAGCCGCGGUAUUUUAACUGUGCUAAGGUAGCAUAAUAAUUAGUCUUUUAAUUGAGGUCUGGUAUGAAUGGUUUGACGAGAAAAAUACUUUAUUAAUUUAAUUUUUUUGAAUUUUGGAUUUUAGUUAAAAUACUAAAAUUUUUUAGAGGGACGAUAAGACCCUGUAGAUCUUUAAAAUUUUUAGUAUUUUAUUUUUUUUGUUGUUUUUUUUUUUAUGCUAAUAUUUUUUUUGUUGGGGUGAUAAUUAAAAUUUUAAACUUUAUUUUAUUUUUACAUUUAUUUAUGUUUUUUUUGAUCCAAAAUUUUUGAUUUUAGGAUAAAGAUACCUCAGGGAUAACAGCGUUAUAUAAUUGGAGAGUUCAAAUUGAUAAUUAUGUCUGCGACCU